rnacentral:rRNA from 1 species
UCGCAAGACCAAAGAGGGGGACCUUCGGGCCUCUUGCCAUCGGAUGUGCCCAGAUGGGAUUAGCUAGUAGGUGGGGUAAAGGCUCACCUAGGCGACGAUCCCUAGCUGGUCUGAGAGGAUGACCAGCCACACUGGAACUGAGACACGGUCCAGACUCCUACGGGAGGCAGCAGUGGGGAAUAUUGCACAAUGGGCGCAAGCCUGAUGCAGCCAUGCCGCGUGUAUGAAGAAGGCCUUCGGGUUGUAAAGUACUUUCAGCGGGGAGGAAGGGAGUAAAGUUAAUACCUUUGCUCAUUGACGUUACCCGCAGAAGAAGCACCGGCUAACUCCGUGCCAGCAGCCGCGGUAAUACGGAGGGUGCAAGCGUUAAUCGGAAUUACUGGGCGUAAAGCGCACGCAGGCGGUUUGUUAAGUCAGAUGUGAA